GACGUAGGGCGCGAGCGUUGUCCGGAUUUAUUGGGCGUAAAGAGCUCGUAGGCGGCUUGUCGCGUCGACCGUGAAAACCUGGGGCUCAACCCCGGGCCUGCAGCCGAUACGGGCAGACUAGAAUUCGGUAGGGGAGACUGGAAUUCCUGGUGUAGCGGUGAAAUGCGCAGAUAUCAGGAGGAACACCGGUGGCGAAGGCGGGUCUCUGGGCCGAUAUUGACGCUGAGGAGCGAAAGCGUGGGGAGCGAACAGG
rnacentral:rRNA from 1 species